rnacentral:tRNA from 1 species
UGGGUCGAUGCCCGAGCGGUUAAUGGGGACGGACUGUAAAUUCGUUGGCAUAUGCCUACGCUGGUUCAAAUCCAGCUCGGCCCAA